AGCGAACGGUGGCGGCGUGGAUUAGGCAUGCAAGUCGAACGCGAAAGGCUGGGCAACUGGCUGAGUAGAGUGGCGGACGGGUGAGUAAUGUAUGGAUAACCUACCCUUGAGACGGGGAUAACCACUGGAAACGGUGGCUAAUACCCGAUAGUCCCUCGAACCGAGAGGUUUGAACGGUAAAGGGAGCAAUCCCACUUGAGGAGGGGUCCAUAUCCUAUCAGCUAGUUGGUGAGGUGAUGGCUCACCAAGGCAACGACGGGUAGCCGAACUGAGAGGUCGAUCGGCCACAUCGGAACUGAGAACUGUCCGGACUCCUACGGGAGGCUGCAGUCGAGAAUCUUCUGCAAUGGGCGCAAGCCUGACAGAGCGACGCCGCGUGCGGGAUGAAGGCCCUCGGGUUGUAAACCGCUGUCACUCGUUAAGAAAGCCUGGGGUAGGCCUCCAGGCUGACGUUAGCGAGAGAGGAAGUCACGGCUAACUUCGUGCCAGCAGCCGCGGUAA
rnacentral:rRNA from 1 species